rnacentral:rRNA from 1 species
GACGAACGCUGGCGGCGUGCCUAACACAUGCAAGUCGAGCGGAGAUAAGCGGAUGGUAACUGAAGCUUGUCUUAGCGGCGGACGGGUGAGUAACACGUGGGCAACCUGCCUUGGAGUGGGGGAUAACACCGGGAAAUCGGUGCUAAUACCGCAUAACAUACACAUACUGCAUGGUGAGUGUAUCAAAGGAGUAAUCCGCUUUAAGAUGGGCCCGCGGCUGAUUAGCUAGUUGGUAAGGUAACGGCUUACCAAGGCGACGAUCAGUAGCCGACCUGAGAGGGCGACCGGCCACACUGGAACUGAGACACGGUCCAGACUCCUACGGGAGGCAGCAGUGGGGAAUAUUGCGCAAUGGGGGAAACUCUGACGCAGCAACGCCGCGUGAAGGAAGAAGGCCUUCGGGUUGUAAACUUCUUUGAUCGGGGACGAAGAUGACGGUACCCGAGGAACAAGCCACGGCUAACUACGUGCCAGCAGCCGCGGUAACAUACUCGUA